rnacentral:tRNA from 1 species
AGGGGUUUAAGUUAAGAAAACUAAAAACCUUCAAAGUUUUAAAUAAAAAUGGAAAUUUUUUAACCCCUG